rnacentral:rRNA from 1 species
CGGACGGGUGAGUAACGCGUGAGGAACCUGCCUCAAAGAGGGGGACAACAGUUGGAAACGACUGCUAAUACCGCAUAAGCCCACAGGUCGGCAUCGACCAGAGGGAAAAGGAGCAAUCCGCUUUGAGAUGGCCUCGCGUCCGAUUAGCUAGUUGGUGAGGUAAUGGCCCACCAAGGCAACGAUCGGUAGCCGGACUGAGAGGUUGAACGGCCACAUUGGGACUGAGACACGGUCCAA